GACGAACGCUGGCGGCGUGCUUAACACAUGCAAGUCGAACGGAAAGGCCCCUUUGGGGGUACUCGAGUAGCGAACGGGUGAGUAACACGUUAGUAACCUGCCCUUGACUUCGGGAUAACUUCAUGAAACUGGGGCUAAUACCGGAUAGGAAUCCUUGCUGCAUGGUGGGGGUUGGAAAGCUUCGGCGGUUUUGGAUGGACUCGCGGCUUAUCAGCUUGUUGGUGGGGUAGUGGCUUACCAAGGCUUUGACGGGUAGCCGGCCUGAGAGGGCGACCGGCCACAUUGGGACUGGGAUACGGCCCAGACUCCUACGGGAGGCAGCAGUGGGGAAUAUUGCACAAUGGGCGGAAGCCUGAUGCAGCAACGCCGCGUGCGGGAUGACGGCCUUCGGGUUGUAAACCGCUUUCAGCAGGGGCGAAGCUUGUGGUGACGGUACCUGCAGAAGAAGCACCGGCUAACUACGUG
rnacentral:rRNA from 1 species